rnacentral:lncRNA from 1 species
GGGGUUUUCACUCCUUCUCCAUCCAUUAACUUUGGAUGGCUUCACUUGCAGGGGCUCUGGUUAGGUUGGAAGUAUCCCUCUCUGGCUAAGGACUAGGUCAGACCUAGAGGGGGAUUUGGCUCAGGCUCCCCUCUCUGUGAUGGCCAAAUCACACAGGAUGCAACCUCCAGAGCACUUGGGUGCUGCUCAGCACUGCUGAGCUGGCUGCUGGCACACGGAGCUGCAAGCGAGGCCUGGGGACCAGCUCCAGCCCCAAGCACAGCCAGUGCAAGUGCUGGAAGAACAAGCAGCUCCAAAUCUUCCCAGGGGAAUUGAGCCAGGCAUCCCAAAUGAGGAGUGUGGGCCUAUAUGAUCUGAUCUCAUCCUACAGAAAGGCCACGGUGCAGUCCGGAAAUUAGCUCAGCCUUUCAGCACGCACUGAAGUGACCCAGCCAGAAAAAAUUAUAGGACAGGAAAUUAUUGUUGACUGGAUCCAUCAUUAUUCUUUUACCAUCUGUUACCUUCAGGCAGAAGCAGAGAGGGAAUCUCAGACUGCAAGACUCAAUGAGGGAAUGCAGAAAAGUCCUCAGGCAACAGGGAUGGGAUGCUGACAGUCCUAGGGAAGCAGCAAAUGCUCUUCACCGCUGCCCAGUGGAAAAGGACCAGGAGACAUUGCAGAACAAGAGAGGCAGACAAGUUUCAUCCUGCUGCAUCCCCCUCUCAGCUCAGAUGCUCCUGGCACACCACAGCUGCCCCACGACCUGGCAGGGAACAGCUGGGAAACAGCUGGGAGUGGGAUGCAGGGACACCUUCCCAGCCCAACACAGGUACAACACAUUUCUUUGUCACAGAAAGCAGCCCACAGCCCUUCACAGACUGAUUUGGAGUCAAUUUUCAAUCACUUCCAAAAUGGGGUAUGCAAAAAUCCAGGCCAUAAAAUCCUGGUAUCUGCGUGCAUCACAGAUAGCAGAGGCAUCUGCCAGCACCUUGGGAAACAGGAACCUACAAUAAACACCUUCAUGAGAAACAGUCCCUGUCAAAAUAAACAGAUGCACAUUCCCA